rnacentral:lncRNA from 1 species
AGACUUCUUCAACCACGUAUCAGUUUAUCAGGCCCACACCACGUGGCCUUAUUCUGACUACUCAUGGCUUACUUUAGGUGAUUGUUAUGCCAUAUCAGACGUCCUUCCACUAUCGUUGACUCUUCAGAUUCGAAGAUGACAGUUAUCUUUAUGAUCUUGGACACGCAACAUGACUGGAUUGGUUUCAUACCCACAUCUCUUCGCCUGUUUCUAAAUAUAAAUGAUGAUUGCCUUACUUCUCGAGCUGCAUUUAAACCCGUCGUC